AUUGAACGCUGGCGGCAGGCCUAACACAUGCAAGUCGAGCGGAUGAAGGGAGCUUGCUCCUGGAUUCAGCUGCGGACGGGUGAGUAAUGCCUAGGAAUCUGCCUGGUAGUGGGGGAUAACGUCCGGAAACGGGCGCUAAUACCGCAUACGUCCUGAGGGAGAAAGUGGGGGAUCUUCGGACCUCACGCUAUCAGAUGUGCCUAGGUCGGAUUAGCUAGUUGGUGGGGUAAAGGCCUACCAAGGCGACGAUCCGUAACUGGUCUGAGAGGAUGAUCAGUCACACUGGAACUGAGACACGGUCCAGACUCCUACGGGAGGCAGCAGUGGGGAAUAUUGGACAAUGGGCGAAAGCCUGAUCCAGCCAUGCCGCGUGUGUGAAGAAGGUCUUCGGAUUGUAAAGCACUUUAAGUUGGGAGGAAGGGCAGUAAGUUAAUACCUUGCUGUUUUGACGUUACCAACAGAAUAAGCACCGGCUAACUUCGUG
rnacentral:rRNA from 1 species